rnacentral:snoRNA from 13 species
AGCACUUCUCUUGUUCUUGUUCAAUCUGGGGACGAGGACUUAGAAAAAGUGCUCAGAACAAACCCUCUUUUGCAACCCACAGUUCAUGGCACAGUAUGAGCUGUGGUACAUAUAAGGAGGGACACC